CACGCUGCUAACUCACACCUUAACCACUACCGCAGCUUUCACCUCUACCGCACUCUUUUUCUCCCCUGCUACCCUCCUGUUCAUCUGUACCGACCUCCCCCGACAAGUGGAUUCGCCUUGCGAACACCCAACCUCCCCAUUUUCAGACUCGACACCUACGGCCACCGCAUACACACAAAGAUGCCCGCCUGCCUCGCCUACUACACCGGCGCGAUGUGCUUCACGAUCAUCCACUUCCUCGCGUGGGCCUUCGCCUUCGUGGCCACCCCUACCGCGCAGUUCCAGACACCCGGGCACGGCUGCUACACCAUGUGGGGCUACCGCCAGUUCUGCGGCAACGUGCCGUACGACCUCACCGGGGACGCCGCCUUUGGCUGUGCGCGCCGCACCUCCACGAUGCGUUGCGGUGCUGCCUUCGGCGUCAUGGCGUCCGUGUGCGGCUUCGCCGGCCUCGUAUCCGCCAUCGUGCUCAACACACAGAUUCAGUUCCCCGUCAUCGUCCCCUUCGUGCUCGCCGCCGUCUGCAUCCCAUGCACCAUGAUCUCCUGGGCCUGCGUCGCCAGCGUCUACAACUUGACCAUGUGCGGCGACCGCUUUGGCAGCAAGUACCCCUACACCGCCGGCUUCGCGCUGAUGGUCGCGUCCUGGGGCCUGGAGCUCAUUGCCGUGGUCAUACUCGCCUGCACUACCUGGACGCGCCCGCCGAAGGAGGAGGAGAACGCCGCUGAUGCCAAACACUAGUGUAUCCGAGCGCGUGUGCACCGCAUCGGCUUCGUCGAUCUGUUACCACGGUUGAGAUGCAAGGCCACCACCUGUUGUAAAGGCGCGUAGCGGAAUGCGGUGGUCGGUUCGACAGAGGAGACUUUGUUAGCUGAGUAUGUUUGCUUGGUGGUCGAUGCGCAGUGAGAUCGGGGCUGGUUUCGGGCGCAUCGGUUCCGAUGUUAUGGAAUGUCCAGUGCCCGCCGCUCCUCCUCUCCCCCUGUCACUCACCGUUGCCGAGUUCCUUCUCUCUUGAACGCCUUUUCCAUCGAGUGUGUAUGUGUGUCGCGCUGUGUGCCGUGUGCCCCGCCCUCCGCUCUUCUUCCUUGGCCUUUCUGUGUCGAACUGGUGCUGAUGGUACAGUGGUCAUGUAAAGAAAAAAGCAGCACACAGUCGCAUAUUCGGAGACGCGGAACGUUGCUGAGGCGUGCUGCCAUACACACGCGCGCAGAGACUUCAGGAAUGCACACAGCUAGUGCCCCUGCCGCUGCUCUUUGUUUUCCUGAAAAGGUGGAAAGCGCGCACACGCAGCGAGAAGGCUACGAUCAAGCGACAGCGCCACCAAAGAAAAACAGUUCACCUCUCUUUCUCUGUCGCCUCUUCUCCUGUUCCAGCACCACCGCGAAUCGCUGUCUUUUGAUUUUUUCUAACUGUCUCUUUAGUGCUCCCUUUCUUCUGUUUACCUCCCCCCUCCCCCCUUACCAAGUUCGGUGGCUCUGUUGUGUACCUCUUCCCCUGUCUGUUGGUUUUUUUUUCCUUGCGUGUGCGUGUGCUUUCCCUCGGAUGUUCUGCCUCUUUUCGGAACCAAAGCAUUUCUCUAUCUUUUUAUCGUCCCUCACACACACACGCGCACUCUCACUCUGUACGGUAGCGCGAUGCCCACAGUGGAGUAGCACAUACAUUGUGCUUUCGGAUGGAGAGAGAGGGGGAAUCAAAUGGAAACAAGAGGAAUGUGCAUGGCGUGGAGGAAAGAGAAGCGGUUGUCUCAUGGUUCCCGCUCCUCCUCCUCUCCCGCCCCCUACCUCUCGCUCCCACCCCCCAUCCCCCCCCGCCUUCCUUCCUCCUUCAACCAACCAGCCAACCCCUGUUCUCCAUCCUGCCCCAUCACGCGCUGUAGCCCCGUUCCAGCGCCGUCUAGAAAAGGAAAAGAACGGGAGGGAGGGAAAAGAGAGAAGUGCUUUGCCUGUCUACGUGUCCCCUCUCUUUUCUCCUCUAUGGUGCGUGUGUGUGUGUGUGUGUGUAUGCUGGGAGGUCUCUCUACCUCCCUAUUCCUUCUCUUUCCCUUUUCUCGCUGUUGUUGUCCCCCCCCCUCCACGCACACACACGCACACUCUAAAAGCUCAUCUGCAUCCAUUUAACCGGCACC
rnacentral:misc_RNA from 1 species